rfam:Salmo salar isolate Sally breed double haploid chromosome ssa11, whole genome shotgun sequence.
UGCAUUCACUACUGUAAGUCGCUCUGGAUAAGAGCGUCUGCCAAAUGACAAAAA